GAUGAACGCUGGCGGCGUGCCUAAUACAUGCAAGUCGAACGCAUUGAGAGAAGUGCUUGCACUUUUCAACUUGAGUGGCGAACGGGUGAGUAACACGUGGGCAACCUACCUGAUAGCGGGGGAUAACGAGUGGAAACAUUCGCUAAUACCGCAUAACAAUAGAGAAGGCAUCUUCUUUAUUUAAAAGGCGCUUUCAAGCGUCACUAUCAGAUGGGCCCGCGGUGCAUUAGUUAGUUGGUGGGGUGAAGGCCUACCAAGACGAUGAUGCAUAGCCGAGUUGAGAGCCUGAUCGGCCAAAUUGGGACUGAGACACGGCCCAAACUCCUACGGGAGGCUGCAGUAGGGAAUCUUCCACAAUGGACGAAAGUCUGAUGGAGCAACGCCGCGUGUGUGAUGAAGGCUUUCGGGUCGUAAAGCACUGUUGUAUGGGAAGAAAUGCUAGGCUAGGAAAUGAGCUUAGUUUGACGGUACCCUACCAGAAAGGGACGGCUAAAUACGUGCCAGCCGCCGCCGUAA
rnacentral:rRNA from 1 species